GCCCGUUUACUUAGUUGGUAGAGCGCAAGGCUCUUAACCUUAUGGUUGUGGGUUCGAGCCCCACGGUGGGUU
rnacentral:tRNA from 1 species